AGUGAACGCUGGCGGUAGGCCUAACACAUGCAAGUCGAACGGCAACACAGUAAGAGCUUGCUCUUACGGGUGGCGAGUGGCGGACGGGUGAGGAAUACAUCGGAAUCUACUUUUUCGUGGGGGAUAACGUAGGGAAACUUGCGCUAAUACCGCAUACGACCUACGGGUGAAAGCAGGGGAUCUUCGGACCUUGCGCGAUUGAAUGAGCCGAUGUCGGAUUAGCUAGUUGGCGGGGUAAAGGCCCACCAAGGCGACGAUCCGUAGCUGGUCUGAGAGGAUGAUCAGCCACACUGGAACUGAGACACGGUCCAGACUCCUACGGGAGGCAGCAGUGGGGAAUAUUGGACAAUGGGCGCAAGCCUGAUCCAGCCAUACCGCGUGGGUGAAGAAGGCCUUCGGGUUGUAAAGCCCUUUUGUUGGGAAAGAAAAGCAGCAGGUUAAUACCCCGCUGUUCUGACGGUACCCAAAGAAUAAGCACCGGCUAACUUCGUG
rnacentral:rRNA from 1 species